AUUUUGCUCUAUCGACCAUAAAUUUGCUCCAUCGAAAUUCGUCGUUUCUUCAAGGUUUGAUUUCUCUACUUCAAGUUUCUCGAUAAAAAAUACAAAAUUAUGCGUUUUCGGAACUUUUCAAAUUCGGAACUUCAACGCCGCCUCAUUUUUCAGUCAUCACUCACACGUCGACGAUACACACUUGAGGAAGUGGCAAGAUACGCAAGGGCGACAAAACUGUCCGGUAUAAAAUGCGGUUUGAAACAACAACUGGACGCGUUUGCUUAUCUGUACCGUCGUCGACCCAGUUUAGAAUCCGAGGAAAGUCAACCAGCGAAGCCUUGCGAUACGAUGCGAGCAAGCUAUUGAGCCUCGACUAUAAUCUCACAUCCUCGCGGGCUCAAAAGCGCGCGGACAAAGCACAAUUGUUCAUUGUUAUUAUACGGUUGAAAAUUUAUCAUUUACUAUUCAAAAUUUACAUCUACAACGCACGGCAGAAUUUAUUCAACGCCGCAUAUACUGCGGUUAUUGCUGUCGCUACAAGCAGGCGGCACAACCGGUACUUACCUUUGAUGUGAUGUCGGUUAUGCAACGCGUCGACUUAAUUUAUGCAAUCCGCGGCGAAUGAUAAUUGCAACGGAGAACCGCAGCCGCGUAUCUCGCAACUCGAGCGCUGUCAAUCGUUCUCGGAAUACUUCGGAGGCCUGAAUUAUUAACGAGAUUUGAGCACACGAGUCGCAGGCCUUGCCUGUAGAACAAGACAGCCCUAAGGGAAUCUAUACUUGCCCUAUAUAAUAUACGGUCACAUUUUUAUCAAUCUUCCUUAUCACGUUUCUGGCUCUUUGACUGAACUGUACGUUUGAUCUCAGCCUUGAGCCACUCGAAAUCACUUCUGCUGAUGGUAGAUAUCUGUAAUCAAUUUUAUAAAAAUUGGAUUGAAUUCUCUGAAAGAUAAGAAGCAGGAAAAUACAGCCAAACUGUGAUCGUUCUGGGACAAUUAUGCGGGACCACAUUCUGCGCAGCACAAAUGUUUUAUGGAUAACUUUUGCGAUACAGCACACCGCAAGUUGAACACAAGUGAAUGUUUCCCUAAUAUCGGUUUUUCUAGGAAUGUUCAUGGCGGCUGUAAUACAAGCCAGCUGAAUAAAGCAAGGCCUGUGGUAAAUAUACUGUUAUUUGAGGUUUGAAAAGAGGAUUUUCACUACAUGACCACUGCAUAUUAAGAGAAUGGAUAUACGUGCAGAUCGACGAAUACAAAUUGUGGUUUAGAGAAAUUCCAAGUAGAAAUACGACGUGCAAUUACAUGUUGUGCAAUAUACCCCGCUGAAUUUCAUUCGGCCUUCCCAGUUUCCGCGGUCAAUAAAUAUUUUACGCGCGCGGUGUAUACUGCGCAAUAAUUAUAUCGAUGUGAUUCUGAUUUCAAGACCAGAAGUGUCUGGCUGAGGACUUGCAGCAAAAGGAAGGCAAGCCCGGUGAUUCCUUGGCCAUCACUGGCGUUCAACAUUGAAAUUGUUUUCCGGGCGAACUUAGGUCUGUUACGACUCUUGCCGCAGUUGAUAAUCGUUACUGUUGGUGUUUCCUUUCUUUGAUUUUUGCUUCCGCGAUCCGUGUGUAUUUUUUUUAGGCCAGAUGUAGUCUUAGGUCUAGUUUCUUAGCUGUGAAAAUGUUAUACAUAUAUGUGUGGAUCUUUUACAAUAUUGUAUCUCUGGUAAUUGCCUUUUACGAUCUGUUUCCCAACACUGUGAUGAAAGAAUGAAUAAAUACC